rnacentral:rRNA from 1 species
CCUACGGGUGGCAGCAGUGGGGAAUAUUGGGCAAUGGACGCAAGCCUGACCCAGCAACGCCGCGUGAAGGAAGACGGCUUUCGGGUUGUAAACCUCUUUUAAGGGGGAAGAGCAGAAGACUAUACGCCUUGAAUAAGCCACGGCUAACUACGGGCCAGCAGCCGCGGUAAGACGUAGGUGGCACGCGUUGUCCGGAUUUACUGGGUGUAAAGGGCGUGCAGGAGGAGAGACAAGGCCGUAGUGAAAUCCACGGUCUUAACCCGUGAACUGCAUUUGAAACUGUUUCGCUUGAGUGUCGGAGAGGUAGGCGGAAUUCCUGGUGUAGCGGUGAAAUGCGUAGAUAUCAGGAAGAACACCAGUGGCGAAGGCGGCUUACUGGACGAUAACUGACGGUGAGGCGCGAAAGCGUGGGUAGCAAACAGGAUUAGAUACCCGAGUAGUC